rnacentral:rRNA from 1 species
UACGUAGGGGCUAGCGUUAUCCAGAAUUACUGGGCGUAAAGGGUGCGUAGGUGGUUUCUUAAGUCAGAGGUGAAAGGCUACGGCUCAACCGUAGUAAGCCUUUGAAACUGGGAAACUUGAGUGCAGGAGAGGAGAGUGGAAUUCCUAGUGUAGCGGUGAAAUGCGUAGAUAUUAGGAGGAACACCAGUUGCGAAGGCGGCUCUCUGGACUGUAACUGACACUGAGGCACGAAAGCGUGGGGAGCAAACAGGAUUAGAUACCCCGGUAGUCCCUGAG